rnacentral:rRNA from 1 species
UUCGCCCUUAGAGUUUGAUCCUGGCUCAGGACGAACGCUGGCGGCGCGCUUAACACAUGCGAGUCGAACGCUCCGCCCUUUUUAGCCCUUCGGGGCUAAGGAGGAUCACGGAGAGUGGCGGACGGGUGAGUAACGCGUAGGUAACCUACCCUGAGGAGAGGGAUAACUCUGCGGAAGCGGGGCUAAUACCUCAUACUGUUAGGGCGUGGCAUCACGCCUUAAUGAAAGCUGGCAUAAAGCCAGUGUCACAGGAGGGGCCUGCGUCGGAUUAGCUAGCUGGUGGGGUAAAGGCCUACCAGGGCGACAAUCCGUAGCUGGUCUGAGAGGACGAUCAGCCACACUGGGACUGAGACACGGCCCAGACUCCUACGGGAGGCAGCAGUGGGGA